GAAGCUAAGGAUCAUGGCACAAAGGGGGCCAUGGCUUCGGAUUUGAGACCGGGAUAUGAAUCACGGUGGUUCCAUCAAUUAUCAUGAGGCUCAUCAAGGCUGAGAAAAGGUUGGACCUGAACAGCUUAUGGUGGUGCUAAAUGCAUGACUAAGCUUAAGACAAUGAGAUCGUGGUUCAAAUUCGGCAGAGACAAGAGGGGUUUCGGUGAAAAAUUCCAUCUUUUCUAUUUUUACCAAUUAGCUGGAUGCAU